rnacentral:rRNA from 1 species
GUGAGGAAUUUUCCGCAAUGGGCGAAAGCCUGACGGAGCAAUGCCGCGUGAAGGAUGAAGGCCUAUGGGUUGUAAACUUCUUUUCUCAGAAAAGAAUUAUGACGGUAUCUGAGGAAUAAGCAUCGGCUAACUCUGUGCCAGCAGCCGCGGUAAGACAGAGGAUGCAAGCGUUAUCCGGAAUGAUUGGGCGUAAAGCGUCUGUAGGUUGUUUAAAAAGUAUUCUGUCAAAGAUUAGGGCUUAACCCUAGAUAGGCAGAAUAAACUUUUAAGCUAGAGUUUGGUAGAGGCAGAGGGAAUUACCGGUGGAGCAGUGAAAUGCGUAGAUAUCGGGAGGAACACCAAAGGCGAAGGCACUCUGCUGGGCCAAUACUAACACUGAGAGACGAAAGCGAGGGGAGCAAAUGGGAUUAGAUACCCGAGUAGUCC